rnacentral:rRNA from 1 species
UACGUAUGGGGCAAGCGUUAUCCGGAUUUGCUGGGUGUAAAGGGAGCGUAGGCGGCCUGGCAAGCCUGAUGUGAAAUACCGGGGCCCAACCCCGGGGCUGCAUUGGGAACUGCCAGGCUGGAGUGCCGGAGAGGCAGGCGGAAUUCCUAGUGUAGCGGUGAAAUGCGUAGAUAUUAGGAGGAACACCAGUGGCGAAGGCGGCCUGCUGGACGGUGACUGACGCUGAGGCUCGAAAGCGUGGGGAGCAAACAGG